AGCUCUGAAGGCAUGUUCAGAAUAUCAGGAAAAUGUUUCUCCAGGAUCAUGAUCAGGUUUCCCAAAGGAUCCAAAAAACUGACAGGGAAGAGAUUUGGGGAAGAUAUCACUAUUCCUCAUCUGACUUUGCCUUGGAGUCAGAUGGGAGAACGACUCCUGGAGAACACUUAGCCUUUUCCGGCUUUCCCCGAGAAAGGCUGGCCCAGGGAGGCUUCUAGAAACCUUCUCCCUAACUCUUCCAGCCUGAUUUCUCCUUGACCCAAGAAUCGCAGCCUCUCUGGGGGCUGUUGGGAAGGAGCAUGGCUUCCCCCUGGGUUCAGUUCCCCUUCCUUCCCAUGAGGGUCCUCACCUGCUCCAGCAUGUCCUUAGCGAGGUCCUCCUGCUCAUCCAUCUUCAAGAUGGCCUGCCGGAUCUCCUCGUUAGAAAGCUUCAACCUAAGGCAAAACCCCACCUCAAUCCAGGACAGUCCUCAAACCUUCUUCUCCAAAAGGUAUCACCUCUGCCUUCCCUCAUUCCCUAACAGGACUUGGGAAUAUAUUUAAU
rnacentral:antisense_RNA from 1 species